GCCAGGCAUGGUGGUGCAUGCCUUUAGUCCCAGCUACUUGGGAGGCUGAGGCAGGAGGAUCUCUUGAGCCUGGGAGGCAGAGGCUGCAGUGAGCUGAGAUCACACCACUGCACUCCAGCCUAGGCGACAGAGGGAGACCCUGUCUCAG
rnacentral:sRNA from 1 species